GAUGAACGCUGGCGGCGUGCCUAAUACAUGCAAGUCGAGCGAAUGGAUUAAGAGCUUGCUCUUAUGAAGUUAGCGGCGGACGGGUGAGUAACACGUAGGUAACCUGCCCAUAAGACUGGGAUAACUCCGGGAAACCGGGGCUAAUACCGGAUAACAUUUUGAACCGCAUGAUUCGAAAUUGAAAGGCGGCUUCGGCUGUCACUUAUGGAUGGACCCGCGUCGAAUUAGCUAGUUGGUGAGGUAACGGCUCACCAAGGCAACGAUGCGUAGCCGACCUGAGAGGGUGAUCGGCCACACUGGGACUGAGACACGGCCCAGACUCCUACGGGAGGCAGCAGUAGGGAAUCUUCCGCAAUGGACGAAAGUCUGACGGAGCAACGCCGCGUGAGUGAUGAAGGCUUUCGGGUCGUAAAACUCUGUUGUUAGGGAAGAACAAGUGCUAGUUGAAUAAGCUGGCACCUUGACGGUACCUAACCAGAAAGCCACGGCUAACUACGUGCCAGCAGCCGCCGUAA
rnacentral:rRNA from 1 species